rnacentral:rRNA from 1 species
UACGAAGGGGGCUAGCGUUGCUCGGAAUCACUGGGCGUAAAGGGCGCGUAGGCGGCUUGACAAGUCGAGGGUGAAAGCCUGUGGCUCAACCACAGAAUUGCCUUCGAUACUGUUAGGCUUGAGACCGGAAGAGGACAGCGGAACUGCGAGUGUAGAGGUGAAAUUCGUAGAUAUUCGCAAGAACACCAGUGGCGAAGGCGGCUGUCUGGUCCGGUUCUGACGCUGAGGCGCGAAAGCGUGGGGAGCAAACAGG